rnacentral:rRNA from 1 species
AUUGAACGCUGGCGGCAGGCCUAACACAUGCAAGUCGAGCGGAUGAGUGGAGCUUGCUCCAUGAUUCAGCGGCGGACGGGUGAGUAAUGCCUAGGAAUCUGCCUGGUAGUGGGGGACAACGUUUCGAAAGGAACGCUAAUACCGCAUACGUCCUACGGGAGAAAGCAGGGGACCUUCGGGCCUUGCGCUAUCAGAUGAGCCUAGGUCGGAUUAGCUAGUAGGUGAGGUAAAGGCUCACCUAGGCGACGAUCCGUAACUGGUCUGAGAGGAUGAUCAGUCACACUGGAACUGAGACACGGUCCAGACUCCUACGGGAGGCAGCAGUGGGGAAUAUUGGACAAUGGGCGAAAGCCUGAUCCAGCCAUGCCGCGUGUGUGAAGAAGGUCUUCGGAUUGUAAAGCACUUUAAGUUGGGAGGAAGGGCAGUAAGUUAAUACCUUGCUGUUUUGACGUUACCAACAGAAUAAGCACCGGCUAACUACGUGCCAGCAGCCGCAGUAA